GGAACACCCCCACCUUGCGUCGUUCUUCAACAAAAGAACACCCUUCAGCCGUUGAACACACACCCCCCCUAGCCGUUACCCCAUUCUUCAACACAAACAAAAAACCUUUGAACUUCCAACGCUACAGAACGGAGAAAUACCUCUCAUCCCUUCUCCAAAAUCAACGCCACUGCCCCUCCAGCCAAGCCCAGACGCCGCUCACACCACCUUUGUACACCAUAGCUCCUUCUUCUUCAACUCACAGCAGACCGGUUGCUGCUCUUUCACCACCAGAAAUGGCCAGAAACCGGCAACCACUCACACACGAACAGUAAGAGGAAUAGAGUGGAUAUGGAUCUUGUUGUUUGAUUUCCUUGCUUGUAUCACAUCCGGACAGAAGUUUUAAUUGAAAUCCUCUUAAAGGUUCAUUCUUUUUCC